CUUCUGUUAACGCUGAGGUGUGACGACGAGGCACUACGGUGCUGAAGUAACAAAUGCCCUGCUUCCAGGAAAAGCCUCUAAGCAUCAGGUAACAUCAAAUCGUACCCCAAACCGACACAGGUGGUCAGGUAGAGAAUACCAAGGCGCUUGAGAGAACUCGGGUGAAGGAACUAGGCAAAAUGGUGCCGUAACUUCGGGAGAAGGCACGCUGAUGGUAAGUGAAACGACUUGCUCGUGGAGCUGAAAUCAGUCGAAGAUACCAGCUGGCUGCAACUGUUUAUUAAAAACACAGCACUGUGCAAACACGAAAGUGGACGUAUACGGUGUGACGCCUGCCCGGUGCCGGAAGGUUAAUUGAUGGGGUUAUCCGUAAGGAGAAGCUCUUGAUCGAAGCCCCGGUAAACGGCGGCCGUAACUAUAACGGUCCUAAGGUAGCGAAAUUCCUUGUCGGGUAAGUUCCGACCUGCACGAAUGGCGUAAUGAUGGCCAGGCUGUCUCCACCCGAGACUCAGUGAAAUUGAACUCGCUGUGAAGAUGCAGUGUACCCGCGGCAAGACGGAAAGACCCCGUGAACCUUUACUAUAGCUUGACACUGAACAUUGAGCCUUGAUGUGUAGGAUAGGUGGGAGGCUUUGAAGCGUGGACGCCAGUCUGCGUGGAGCCAACCUUGAAAUACCACCCUUUAAUGUUUGAUGUUCUAACGUAGACCCCUAAUCGGGGUUGCGGACAGUGUCUGGUGGGUAGUUUGACUGGGGCGGUCUCCUCCCAAAGAGUAACGGAGGAGCACGAAGGUUAGCUAAUCCUGGUCGGACAUCAGGAGGUUAGUGCAAUGGCAUAAGCUAGCUUGACUGCGAGCGUGACGGCGCGAGCAGGUGCGAAAGCAGGUCAUAGUGAUCCGGUGGUUCUGAAUGGAAGGGCCAUCGCUCAACGGAUAAAAGGUACUCCGGGGAUAACAGGCUGAUACCGCCCAAGAGUUCAUAUCGACGGCGGUGUUUGGCACCUCGAUGUCGGCUCAUCACAUCCUGGGGCUGAAGUAGGUCCCAAGGGUACGGCUGUUCGCCGUUUAAAGUGGUACGCGAGCUGGGUUUAGAACGUCGUGAGACAGUUCGGUCCCUAUCUGCCGUGGGCGCUGGAGAAUUGAGGGGGGCUGCUCCUAGUACGAGAGGACCGGAGUGGACGCAUCACUGGUGUUCGGGUUGUCAUGCCAAUGGCAUUGCCCGGUAGCUAAAUGCGGAAAAGAUAAGUGCUGAAAGCAUCUAAGCACGAAACUUGCCCCGAGAUGAGUUCUCCCUGACCCUUUAAGGGUCCUGAAGGAACGUUGAAGACGACGACGUUGAUAGGUCGGGUGUGUAAGCGUAGCGAUACGUUGAGCUAACCGAUACUAAUGAACCGUGAGGCUUAACCUUACAACGCCAAAGCUGUUUGGUGUGGUGAAUUUGAGAGAUUUUCAGCUGAUACAGAUUAACUGACAGGCCUU
rnacentral:rRNA from 1 species